UACAGAGGGGGCAAGCGUUGUUCGGAAUUACUGGGCGUAAAGGGCGCGUAGGCGGCCUCCUAAGUCAGACGUGAAAUCCCUCGGCUCAACCGGGGAACUGCGUCUGAUACUGGGAGGCUUGAAUCCGGGAGAGGGAUGUGGAAUUCCAGGUGUAGCGGUGAAAUGCGUAGAUAUCUGGAGGAACACCGGUGGCGAAGGCAGCUCGCUGGGACGUUACUGACACUGAGGCGCGAAAGCGUGGGGAGCGAACAGG
rnacentral:rRNA from 1 species